rnacentral:rRNA from 1 species
AAAGGAAUUGACGGGGGCCCGCACAAGCAGCGGAGCAUGUGGUUUAAUUCGAAGCAACGCGAAGAACCUUACCAGGUCUUGACAUCCCCUGACCACCCUAGAGAUAGGGCUUUCCCUUCGGGGACAGGGAGACAGGUGGUGCAUGGUUGUCGUCAGCUCGUGUCGUGAGAUGUUGGGUUAAGUCCCGCAACGAGCGCAACCCCUGUAUUUAGUUGCCAUCAGGUAAAGCUGGGCACUCUAGAUAGACUGCCGUAGACAAUACGGAGGAAGGUGGGGAUGACGUCAAAUCAUCAUGCCCCUUAUGACCUGGGCUACACACGUGCUACAAUGGUCUGAACAGAGGGCAGCGAAAUAGUGAUAUGGAGCGAAUCCCACAAAACAGAUCACAGUUCGGAUUGCAGGCUGCAACUCGCCUGCAUGAAGUCGGAGUUGCUAGUAAUCGCGGAUCAGAAUGCCGCGGUGAAUGCGUUCCCGGGCCUUGUACACACCGCCCGU